rnacentral:lncRNA from 1 species
ACGGACUGACUUGUGAUGGCUUUGAUCCAGUUUAUGAGCCACUAGCGCUUGGAUCAUUGAAGGUACUUGCGUGCCUUACCGUUUACGUCCUUACAACGUCUCCCACUACAGUGGCUGGACAAUUUGGAUGCGACUUGAUUACAAUCAUAUCCAGAAUAUUCGGCAAUGCAGCGUCUACAACAUUAACUCCACUACUGUGUGCACUUCAAAACGCGCUUAAUCUCGAUUGCACUGGCAUCUCAUGCUGAAAUGAUCUCAAGGAAUUGUGCUGUAAUUGGGCCAUUCGUAACAAAAUGUAGCGUGGGUGCAAGUUGAGUUAAAGAGCACCCUAAUAAGUCGACCAACAGAACGACCGCGCAAGCGCUUGUUUCUUCUUUGUAGGCUUGUUGUGCUCUGUUGCACAUUGGUACGAAGAAAUCUGGCAAAUAAAUGUGAAAAUUGAGAACCAUUUGAGAAGUUGAUAUAAAGAGAAAGGGCAAAAUAUGACAAGAAAAGACAAUUUGUUCUACCAU